GACGAACGCUGGCGGCGUGCCUAACACAUGCAAGUCGAGCGGAGUCAGUAAGAGGAAGUUUUCGGAUGGAAUCUUAUUGAUUUAGCGGCGGACGGGUGAGUAACGCGUGAGCGACCAACCUUGCACAGGGGGAUAACGGACCGAAAGGUUCACUAAUACCGCAUGAGACCACGGUGUUGCAUGACACAGUGGUCAAAGGAGCAAUCCGGUGCAAGACGGGCUCGCGUCCGAUUAGGUAGUUGGAGGGGUAACGGCCCACCAAGCCUAUGAUCGGUAGCCGACCUGAGAGGGUGAUCGGCCACAUUGGAACUGCGAUACGGUCCAAACUCCUACGGGAGGCAGCAGUGGGGAAUAUUGGGCAAUGGGGGAAUCCCUGACCCAGCAACGCCGCGUGAAGGAAGAAGGUUUUCGGAUUGUAAACUUCUGUCCUUGGUGAAGAGAAGAAGACGGUAGCCAAGGAGGAAGCCCCGGCUAACUACGUGCCAGCCGCCGCCGUAA
rnacentral:rRNA from 1 species